UGAGGAACAUGACCUUCGGCGGGGGAUAGCCGGCCCAACGGCCGGGUAAUACCGCGUACGACCACAUGGGGACAUCCCUGAGUGGUGAAAGCAGCAAUGCGCCGAUGGAGUGCCUCGCGGCCUAUCAGCUUGUUGGGUGAGGUAAUGGCUCACCAAGGCGACGACGGGUAGCCCGGCCUGGAGAGGGUGAUCGGCCACAUUGGAACUGAGACACGGUCCAGACCUCCGUAGGGACGG
rnacentral:rRNA from 1 species